rnacentral:tRNA from 1 species
GAGGGUACAGCUCAGUGGCAGAGUGUGUGUUUAGCAUGCACAAGGUCCUAGGUUCAAUCCCCAGUACCUCCA